rnacentral:rRNA from 1 species
CCUACGGGAGGCAGCAGUGGGGAAUAUUGCACAAUGGGGGAAACCCUGAUGCAGUGACGCCGCGUGAGUGAAGAAGUAUUUCGGUACGUAAAGCUCUAUCAGCAGGGAAGAAAAUGACGGUACCUGACUAAGAAGUCCCGGCUAACUACGUGCCAGCAGCCGCGGUAAUACGUAGGGGGCAAGCGUUAUCCGGAUUUACUGGGUGUAAAGGGAGCGUAGACGGCAGCGCAAGUCUGGAGUGAAAUCCCAUGGCUUAACCAUGGAACUGCUUUGGAAACUGUGCAGCUAGAGUGCAGGAGAGGUAAGCGGAAUUCCUAGUGUAGCGGUGAAAUGCGUAGAUAUUAGGAGGAACACCAGUGGCGAAGGCGGCUUACUGGACUGUAACUGACGUUGAGGCUCGAAAGCGUGGGGAGCAAACAGGAUUAGAUACCCGAGUAGUC